GACGAACCGUGCGAACGUUAUUCGGAAUCAUUGGGCUUAAAGCGCGUGUAGGCGGAUUCGUGCGUCUGUCGUUGAAAUCCCCCGGCUCAACCGGGGAAGUGGCGCGGAUACGACGAGUCUGGAGGGGCAUAGGGGGACCUGGAACUUCCGGUGGAGCGGUGAAAUGCGUAGAGAUGUGGAGGAACACCUGUGGCGAAGGCGCCUUGCUGGCCAAUUACUGACGCUGAGGCGCGAAAGCGUGGGGAGCAAACAGG
rnacentral:rRNA from 1 species